UACGUAGGGUGCAAGCGUUGUCCGGAAUUAUUUUUCUUAAAGAGCUUGUAGGCGGUUUGUCGCGUCUGCUGUGAAAUUUCGGGGCUCAACCCCGAACUUGCAGUGGGUACGGGCAGACUAGAGUGUGGUAGGGGAGACUGGAAUUCCUGGUGUAGCGGUGAAAUGCGCAGAUAUCAGGAGGAACACCGGUGGCGAAGGCGGGUCUCUGGACAGUUCCUGACGCUGAGGCACGAAGGCCAGGGGAGCAAACGGG
rnacentral:rRNA from 1 species